rnacentral:rRNA from 1 species
UACGUAGGGUGCGAGCGUUGUCCGGAAUUAUUGGGCGUAAAGAGCUCGUAGGCGGCUUGUCGCGUCGGAUGUGAAAGCCCGGGGCUUAACUCCGGGUCUGCAUUCGAUACGGGCAGGCUAGAGUUCGGUAGGGGAGAUCGGAAUUCCUGGUGUAGCGGUGAAAUGCGCAGAUAUCAGGAGGAACACCAACGGCGAAGGCAGCGCUCUGGGCCGGUACUGACACUGAGGAGCGAAAGCGUGGGUAGCGAACAGG